GAGGGUGUAGCUCAGUGGCAGAGCACAUGCCUAGCAUGCACAAGAUCCUGGGUUCAAUCCCCAGCACCCCCA
rnacentral:tRNA from 1 species